GCUUGGUAGCUCAAUUGGUUGAGCAUCUGACUUGUGCUCAGGUCAUGAUCUCAGUUUGUGAGUUCAAGCCCCACAUUGGGCU
rnacentral:tRNA from 1 species